rnacentral:rRNA from 1 species
GUGACCUCAAAUCAGGUARGACUACCCGCUGAACUUAAGCAUAUCAAUAAGCGGAGGAAAAGAAACUAACAAGGAUUCCCCUAGUAACUGCGAGUGAAGCGGGAAAAGCUCAAAUUUAAAAUCUGGCGGUCUUUUGGCUGUCCGAGUUGUAAUCUAGAGAAGUGUUAUCCGCGCUGGACCGUGUACAAGUCUCCUGGAAUGGAGCAUCAUAGAGGGUGAGAAUCCCGUCUUUGACAUGGACUGCCAG